CCCGCCACGCUAACCUCGUAAACACCUCUCCUCACACAACAGUUCCAGUGGGAAUACACAGGUAGCCAUAAUGUAUCAAACAUUUUUUUUUUUACAGCAACACUGUUCAGGGCCCAGCCUCAUACUUUUCACGAUCAUGAAUAUAUCAGACGUGCUGAUGUUCUAGGGGAACUAAGCUACAGACAGACAGACAGACAGACAGCAGCAGCAAAGGAACACCCGUCAUGAAAGAAACCGGUCACGUCAGCCUAACCCCCCACAGUGGCCUCCCCCUAAUCUUAGCAUGCGCCAUCUAUCACAGCAUGAGGUCACUUUGCCGUAGUGCACCCUGCUUUUUAUUGGUCUUCCCACUGGAUGUUUCCCUCAGAGCCCCUGGGGCAUGCUGGGAAUAGAAAUGAAGUAGCUGAGCGGCCUAUAAUUCUCAGGCCUUCUGACUCAGUAAGGGGUACACUGCACUUCAGCCAUUCCAGAAAGAGAUUCGAGGGAGUGGAGACUAAGAGAGUGGAAGAGAGAGGAAGAGAGAGAGAGACAGGGCAAGGAAGGCCGGUGGUGGCUGGUCCCCUGCAGGAAGGUGAGGUGCCUGAGGUCCCUCCACCCCCUCUGGACAUCGAGGGAUCCCCGGCGUACACAGUAUGUGACAUUCUGGACUCGAGAUGCCGGGCGAGGGGCCUACAGUACCUCGUGGACUGGGAGGGGUACGGUCCGGAGGAGAGAUGCUGGGUUCCGGUGGGGGACAUUUUGGAUCCUUCUCUCCUGAGAGACUUCCACCGCCUCCACCCGGAUAGCCCGACGCCCCGCCCUCCGGGUCACCCUCGAGGCGCGUCAGGGGGGGUGGUACUGUCACGACUUCCGCCGAAGUUGGCUCCCCUGCCAGUUCGGGCGGUGCUCGGCGGUCGUCAUCACCGGCCUACUAGCCGCCACCGAUCCCUUUUUCAUUUGUCUGUUUGUUUUGUCUUAUUAGUUUCACCUGUGUUCUGUUGUAUGUGCUUAAUGAACUUCCUUAUUUAAAGUACGUAUAGGGGUACGGUCCGCGCCCUGUGUUGUUGGGCUUGUCUAAUUUUGUGUGCGUUAUUAAAGAGCACUUUUUUUCCCAGUGCA